rnacentral:rRNA from 1 species
GUCUAUGGCCAUGCCACCCUGAACAAGCCCGAUGUCUGAUCUCAGAAGCUAAGCAGGAUCAAGCCUGUUUAGUACUUGGAUGGGAGACCACCUAGGAAGACCAGGUGCUGUAGGCA